AGUGAACGCUGGCGGUAGGCCUAACACAUGCAAGUCGAACGGCAGCACAGUAAGAGCUUGCUCUUACGGGUGGCGAGUGGCGGACGGGUGAGGAAUACAUCGGAAUCUACUUUUUCGUGGGGGAUAACGUAGGGAAACUUACGCUAAUACCGCAUACGACCUACGGGUGAAAGCAGGGGAUCUUCGGACCUUGCGCGAUUGAAUGAGCCGAUGUCGGAUUAGCUAGUUGGCGGGGUAAAGGCCCACCAAGGCGACGAUCCGUAGCUGGUCUGAGAGGAUGAUCAGCCACACUGGAACUGAGACACGGUCCAGACUCCUACGGGAGGUAGCAGUGGGGAAUAUUGGACAAUGGGCGCAAGCCUGAUCCAGCAAUACCGCGUGGGUGAAGAAGGCCUUCGGGUUGUAAAGCCCUUUUGUUGGGAAAGAAAAGCAGCAGGUUAAUACCCCGCUGUUCUGACGGUACCCAAAGAAUAAGCACCGGCUAACUUCGUG
rnacentral:rRNA from 1 species